CUGAGUGAUGCCAAAUUACUUGAUGCGCAGGCAGGUUGUGAAUCAUCGAUGGGAGCGAUGCUGGCGGCUCUUGCGGGAAUAAAUAACAUAUCAGGGCCCG
rfam:Candidatus Fischerbacteria bacterium RBG_13_37_8 RBG_13_scaffold_2012, whole genome shotgun sequence.